rnacentral:rRNA from 1 species
UACGAAGGGGGCUAGCGUUGUUCGGAAUUACUGGGCGUAAAGCGCGCGCAGGCGGCCAUUCAAGUCAGGGGUGAAAGCCCAGAGCUCAACUCUGGAACUGCCCUUGAAACUGCAUGGCUUGAGUACGAGAGAGGUGAGUGGAAUUCCCAGUGUAGAGGUGAAAUGCGUAGAGAUCGGGAGGAACACCAGUGGCGAAGGCGGCUACCUGGACCAGCACUGACACUGAGGCACGAAAGCGUGGGGAGCAAACAGG